GACGAACGCUGGCGGCGUGCUUAACACAUGCAAGUCGAACGGAAAGGCCCUGCUUGCAGGGUACUCGAGUGGCGAACGGGUGAGUAACACGUGGGUGAUCUGCCCUGCACUUCGGGAUAAGCCUGGGAAACUGGGUCUAAUACCGGAUAGGAGCCAUUUUUAGUGUGAUGGUUGGAAAGUUUUUUCGGUGUAGGAUGAGCUCGCGGCCUAUCAGCUUGUUGGUGGGGUAAUGGCCUACCAAGGCGGCGACGGGUAGCCGGCCUGAGAGGGUGGACGGCCACAUUGGGACUGAGAUACGGCCCAGACUCCUACGGGAGGCAGCAGUGGGGAAGAUUGCACAAUGGGCGCAAGCAUGAUGCAGCGACGCCGCGUGGGGGAUGACGGCCUUCGGGUUGUAAACUCCUUUCGCUAGGGACGAAGCUUUUUGUGACGGUACCUAGAUAAGAAGCACCGGCUAACUACGUG
rnacentral:rRNA from 1 species